GACGAACGCUGGCGGCGUGCUUAACACAUGCAAGUCGAACGGAAAGGCCCCCUUGUGGGGUACUCGAGUGGCGAACGGGUGAGUAACACGUGAGUAACCUACCCUUGACUUUGGGAUAACUUCAGGAAACUGGGGCUAAUACCGGAUAGGAGCUCCUGCUGCAUGGUGGGGGUUGGAAAGUUUCGGCGGUUGGGGCUGGACUCGCGGCUUAUCAGCUUGUUGGUGGGGUAGUGGCUCACCAAGGCUUUGACGGGUAGCCGGCCUGAGAGGGUGACCGGCCACAUUGGGACUGAGAUACGGCCCAGACUCCUACGGGAGGCAGCAGUGGGGAAUAUUGCACAAUGGGCGGAAGCCUGAUGCAGCAACGCCGCGUGCGGGAUGACGGCCUUCGGGUUGUAAACCGCUUUCGCCUGUGACGAAGCGUGAGUGACGGUAAUGGGUAAAGAAGCACCGGCUAACUACGU
rnacentral:rRNA from 1 species